AUGCAGUCGAGCGGUAGCACAGGAGAGCUUGCUCUCUGGGUGACGAGCGGCGGACGGGUGAGUAAUGUCUGGGAAACUGCCCGAUGGAGGGGGAUAACUACUGGAAACGGUAGCUAAUACCGCAUAACGUCUUCGGACCAAAGAGGGGGACCUUCGGGCCUCUUGCCAUCGGAUGUGCCCAGAUGGGAUUAGCUAGUAGGUGGGGUAAUGGCUCACCUAGGCGACGAUCCCUAGCUGGUCUGAGAGGAUGACCAGCCACACUGGAACUGAGACACGGUCCAGACUCCUACGGGAGGCAGCAGUGGGGAAUAUUGCACAAUGGGCGCAAGCCUGAUGCAGCCAUGCCGCGUGUAUGAAGAAGGCCUUCGGGUUGUAAAGUACUUUCAGCGAGGAGGAAGGCGUUGUGGUUAAUAACCGCAGCGAUUGACGUUACUCGCAGAAGAAGCACCGGCUAACUCCGUGCCAGCAGCCGCGGUAAUACGGAGGGUGCAAGCGUUAAUCGGAAUUACUGGGCGUAAAGCGCACGCAGGCGGUCUGUCAAGUCGGAUGUGAAAUCCCCGGGCUCAACCUGGGAACUGCAUUCGAAACUGGCAGGCUAGAGUCUUGUAGAGGGGGGUAGAAUUCCAGGUGUAGCGGUGAAAUGCGUAGAGAUCUGGAGGAAUACCGGUGGCGA
rnacentral:rRNA from 1 species